GAGACAGGCCUUAUUAACCCCAUGGACAUAGUGGGGCCGCCGGCAGGCGUAUAUCCAGCGAAGGCGAACGAGAGGUGAAGGAGAGAGUGUGUUGUGCCACUGAUUAAUUGCUGACAAAAAGGACACCUCGUGACCUGGGAAGCGUUGCUGGGGGGCGAUGGCUGGUGGAUCAUUCUCUGUUUGGCUUCUCUGGAGAUUGAAAUGUUCUGGAGACACGAUAACCUGAGAAAGCGUGAUUGCUGAAAGACAAGUGAAACUGUUCAUUCUGUCGGGCACGAUGUGGACGUUUCUCUUCACUGGAUCCAUCACAAAUGAAAAGUAGUCUGAAACCAUUACAGGUCUCGGAGGCCGAUGUCUCUAUUCACUGCACUCUCCUCCCCCAAUUGUGCUGAUUGGACAACAAAGGAGCGUUCCUGAGAACUGCUUCUCAGAAUGUUUAACAGGGAACAGGGAGUGACAUUGUCCAUCAGGGGGUACCAUCUCUUUCAAAAUAGAAUAGAAAUCUUGCCGACACGAAGACGUCAAGAUGGAGUUUUCCACCUCGCGUGUGAACCCGUAGUCUGUGAAUGAACGGCCGAGCUAGUUCCUCCUCGAGCAUGAGGAAACGUGUCGUGUUAGCAACUGUAAACAACUGUGCCUAUGACUUUUAGAGUAGACUUUGUAUCGGGCUUGGCGAUGGAAAGAGUUCUAAAGACACUGAACGUUUUCCAAGAAUGUCUGGAUUUCUCCAGCUAUGUGUAAUCACACAGGAAUGCCCUGGGACAUUUCUGCUUUUCCUAUUCCACAGCCCCGUAUUUUCCCACGGUUUCUCUGGGACCCGAAAAAACUAUUUCCCUUUUCAGUUCCCAAAGACACAUGAAUAUACUACAAAGGUUAAUUUAUCAGUGGAGAAGACAAUACCAUGGAAGAGUCCCCAGCGCACGGAACGGAUGCCUUAAGUCUAACCUUGGAGAAAGGAGCACAAAAACAAGGAAUUCUAGGAGAAUUUUUUUAUUUCCUGGUUUGAAACUGGUGUGAAUCACAUGAGUGGAAUUCUUGAAACGCUAUCCUUGAGGAUACAGGAAAUGAGAUGAGGUUACUUGUGAUUUGGGCAAAGUAGUUUGAGCAGCUUACUUGAAUUCCCAGGUAUUCUAUUGAACAGAGAGAUAGUCCUUUAAUAUUAAAUUGUUUAAUAAGACCAACCGUGUUACCUUGCUGCAGCAAACUUGAACAGAGUUAACAGACCUGCUUCAGACACACUUACAGAUCAGUCAGGAAAAUGUCUGAACCACAGACACAUGUGUUAACACUUGGGACCACAUCUUGAAGGGGCACAGUCCAGAACACAGAGGUCGUCGGCAUGUGUCGACAGUGUUUCAGUUCACCAGAACCUUAUUUGAUUCCUUUUUUUUGUUUGCUUGCUUGAAGCCAAUCCUUCAUCAAGAAUGUAGAUAAAGAUCUGAGAAGAUCUGCUUAAUCACGAUUAGCUGUGCUGUUUUUUAAAACAACUUUUCACUUCCAGCCGUUGUAUCUUUACAACCUUGUAUCUUGUCAGGUGAAAUCUCACCAGGGGCACUUGUGAAACAUUAGCUCUUCACCUCUAAUCAAGUUUGAGUUGGCGUGAGUCUCCAAGCUGAAACGUUUGUUUGUGUUCGUUUUGCUGAAACCCAUAUGCCCUCGUCUCCUGACAUCUGCCUCUCCCACUCAGACCCUCCCUGCUCCUCUUUGUUCACUUGAGCUCGCAGGAAAAAGGAGAGCGUACAUUUCGAGAGCGGUGAUGUCACCGUGGUGAUCAUUACUGGGUGCUGUGGUGGCCUAUUUCUGACCAGGCAUCACAGAGGGGCCGUCUAGAACGCUUCAGCUCUGCCUGUGGAAGCAGCGACCUGCCACUUUGAAUUAAAACAGGCCCAAUUUGCACAAGCACUAAGACAGGCUGACACAAAAGACUGUGUAACACUGCUUUAGAAACAAUGACAAAAACUCACAGUUGAGGGAGACUUGUGGAUCCACCAGCCGUAAAUUAUGUGUCAUUUUACAUCAAGAAGGGGAGCUGUCAAAAAGGCAGAAAAACGACCAUCGAGGAGAGCACUGAAUUCUAACUGCACAGAUGUAUUGUACUAAAGAUGUCUUAAACGGAGGUGCUGUACUGUUUGAAUAAUUGAAAUAGAUGUCAUAGCUGCGCGGUAUUUAUUCUACAAGAGUUUGGCCCCCACACACCGGAACCACUUUACAUAACAAAAGACAGUCUUUGUCCUAAAGAAUGCCCUAAGCCAAUCUUAAUGUUAUCAACUUGUGUCAAUGUCUUCCUGUGUGCUUGGCGGCAUAGUGGUGAUUACCUGAAGGAAAAAAAUGCUUCAGGCAAACACUUUUCUUGAAAAAAAACAAAAGUUUAAAACCAUAUGAACCGACCAUCAAAUUAAAUUAACCUAACAUAUGUUGGCGGGCACUGAAAGUGAAAGCCAAUCUUGGAAGAAUGUUUCUGUAGUUUAAAGACCCCCCUAACCAUCCGGUGACAUAUUACUAUGUGUUUUAUCUGCCAAGAUCCAGAACUCUAGUUGUCCUCAUAGAUUUAGUUUCACUAUCCCUCUCAGAGUAUUCAAUCCAUACUCAGCCAGCUCUCUCUCCAUUUCAAUCUUGCUAAUGUUGCCUCAAUGGACAAGUUCCUCUUCCCUCAGUGAGAACAAUGCACAUGCGAGCAUUGGCCAACAAUUAUUAUCCCCCAGUUGUCUUCUCAACAUGCUAAGUGUAUGUCAUAUGGACAAUGGCCUGUGAUUUGCAUCGGUUAGUAUAGACAUAGUCUUCUACACACAUCUGUCUUUUCUUGGCCAGUCUGUCAGGAACAAGUUUGACAAAUGGAGGAUCUUCUGCCAUGCUGUCUACCUUUGAUCGGGGCAUUGUGACGGACGACUAAAAAGUGCUUGCUGGGUCCAAAAACACUUAAGAUGGACUGUGUUUCCCCCCUCCUGUGUUCCCUGUGGCGGGCGUGUUGGUGUUGCAGUCAUUGUGGAGGCACUUAUUAUGUUACAAAUGACCAAGGUACGGCCGCCACUCUCGCUGUGCAUGCAAAGAGGG